rnacentral:rRNA from 1 species
AGUAACGCGUGGAUAACCUGCCUCACACUGGGGGAUAACAGUUAGAAAUGACUGCUAAUACCGCAUAAACGCACAGUGCCGCAUGGCAGUGUGUGAAAAACUCCGGUGGUGUGAGAUGGAUCCGCGUCUGAUUAGCCAGUUGGCGGGGUAACGGCCCACCAAAGCGACGAUCAGUAGCCGACCUGAGAGGGUGACCGGCCACAUUGGGACUGAGACACGGCCCAA